rnacentral:rRNA from 1 species
AGUGAACGCUGGCGGUAGGCCUAACACAUGCAAGUCGAACGGCAGCACAGUAAGAGCUUGCUCUUACGGGUGGCGAGUGGCGGACGGGUGAGGAAUACAUCGGAAUCUACUUUUUCGUGGGGGAUAACGUAGGGAAACUUACGCUAAUACCGCAUACGACCUACGGGUGAAAGCAGGGGAUCUUCGGACCUUGCGCGAUUGAAUGAGCCGAUGUCGGAUUAGCUAGUUGGCGGGAUAAAGGCCCACCAAGGCGACGAUCCGUAGCUGGUCUGAGGGGAUGAGCAGCCCCAGUGGAACUGAGACCCGGUCCCGCACCCUACGGGGGGCAGCAGGGGGAAAUUUGGGAAAAGGGGCGGAAGCCUGACCCAGCCAGCCCGCGGGGGUAAAGAAGGCCUUCGGGUUGUAAAGCCUUUUUGUUGGGAAAAAAAAGAAGCAGGUUAAACCCCCGGUUUUCGGACGGGACCAAAAAAAAAAGCACCGGCUAAUUUCGG